UGUGCGCUGUGUCUGCGCCCUGUUGACUGUUCGCUGAAACUGGCUUCCAAGUUUAUUCAGAGCAUGCGCCAUAUCAACAUCCUACAAAGGGGAGGUGCUAGCAGUCGGACCGGAAGUGGAAGUGGUCCUCCAAGGCUUUUAUGCCGCUGGUGUCAGGAGUAUUUUCAUAUUCCAAUACCGAUAAAUCUUUGAGGUUUCUGGGUGUCUCUUGGGAGCCCCUGGGCCAGAUCUUCCUCCAGACUCCAGCCCAUCUCUUCAGAGCAGCUCUGCUUGAGUUCACAGAUGACUGCCAAGCUUCAGACACCCUAGAGAAAAAGGGCUGAGACCCAGUGUGGCCAUGCCAGCUAAUUGGACCUCACCCCAGAAAUCCUCAGCCCUGGCUCCGGAGGAUCAUGGCAGCUCCUAUGAGGGAUCAGUGUCCUUCAGGGAUGUGGCUAUCGAUUUCAGCAGAGAGGAAUGGCGGCACCUGGACCUUUCUCAGAGAAACCUGUACCGGGAUGUGAUGCUGGAGACCUACAGCCACCUGCUUUCAGUAGGGUAUCAAGUUCCUGAAGCAGAGGUGGUCAUGUUGGAGCAAGGAAAGGAACCAUGGUCACUGCAGGGUGAGAGGCCACGUCACAGCUGCCCAGGAGAGAAAUUAUGGGACCAUAAUCAAUGUAGAAAAAUCCUCAGUUAUAAACAAGUAUCCUCUCAACGUCAAAAAAUGUAUCCUGGGGAGAAAGCUUAUGAAUGCGCCGAAUUUGAAAAGAUAUUCACCCAGAAGUCACAGCUCAAAGUACACCUGAAAGUUCUUGCAGGAGAAAAGCUCUAUGUAUGCAUUGAAUGUGGGAAGGCUUUUGUACAGAAGCCAGAAUUUAUUAUACACCAGAAAACCCAUAUGAGAGAGAAACCCUUUAAAUGCAAUGAAUGUGGAAAAUCCUUUUUUCAAGUAUCGUCCCUCUUCAGGCAUCAGAGAAUUCAUACCGGAGAGAAACUCUAUGAAUGCAGCCAAUGUGGGAAAGGCUUCUCUUAUAACUCAGAUCUCAGUAUACAUGAGAAAAUUCAUACUGGAGAGAGACACCAUGAAUGCACUGACUGUGGCAAAGCGUUCACACAAAAGUCCACACUCAAGAUGCAUCAGAAAAUCCAUACAGGUGACAGAUCCUACAUCUGUAUUGAAUGCGGACAGGCCUUCAUCCAGAAGACUCAUCUGAUUGCACACCGAAGAAUUCAUAGUGGAGAAAAACCAUAUGAGUGCAGUAACUGUGGCAAAUCCUUCAUUUCCAAGUCACAACUUCAGGUACAUCAACGUGUUCACACAAGAGUGAAGCCGUAUAUAUGUACCGAAUAUGGGAAGGUCUUCAGCAAUAAUUCCAACCUCAUUACACAUAAGAAAGUUCAAAGUAGAGAGAAAUCUUCCAUAUGUACUGAGUGUGGGAAGGCCUUUACCUACAGGUCAGAGUUGAUUAUUCAUCAGAGAAUUCACACUGGAGAGAAACCUUAUGAAUGCAGUGACUGUGGAAAAGCCUUCACUCAGAAGUCAGCACUCACAGUGCAUCAGAGAAUUCAUACAGGAGAAAAAUCAUAUAUAUGCAUGAAAUGUGGACUGGCCUUCAUUCAGAAGGCACACUUGAUUGCACAUCAAAUAAUUCAUACUGGAGAGAAACCUUAUAAAUGUGGUCACUGUGGGAAAUUGUUUACUUCCAAGUCACAACUCCAUGUUCAUAAACGAAUUCAUACAGGAGAAAAGCCCUAUAUGUGCAAUAAAUGUGGGAAGGCAUUCACCAACCGGUCAAAUCUCAUUACACAUCAGAAAACUCAUACAGGAGAGAAAUCUUAUAUAUGUUCCAAAUGUGGAAAGGCCUUCACCCAGAGGUCAGACUUGAUUACACAUCAGAGAAUCCAUACUGGGGAGAAGCCUUAUGAAUGCAAUACUUGUGGAAAAGCCUUCACUCAGAAGUCACACCUCAAUAUACACCAGAAAAUUCACACUGGAGAGAGACAGUAUGAAUGCCACGAAUGUGGGAAAGCCUUCAACCAGAAAUCAAUACUCAUUGUUCAUCAGAAAAUUCAUACAGGAGAGAAACCCUAUGUUUGCACUGAGUGUGGAAGAGCUUUCAUCCGCAAGUCAAACUUUAUUACUCAUCAAAGAAUUCAUACUGGAGAGAAGCCUUAUGAAUGCAGUGACUGUGGGAAGUCCUUUACCUCCAAGUCUCAGCUCCUGGUGCAUCAGCCAAUUCACACAGGAGAGAAACCCUAUGUGUGUGCCGAGUGUGGGAAGGCCUUUAGUGGCAGGUCAAAUCUCAGUAAGCACCAGAAAACUCAUACUGGAGAAAAGCCCUACAUUUGUUCUGAAUGUGGGAAGACCUUUCGACAGAAGUCAGAGUUGAUUACACAUCAUAGAAUUCAUACUGGAGAGAAACCGUAUGAGUGCAGUGACUGUGGGAAGUCUUUCACUAAAAAAUCACAGCUCCAAGUGCAUCAACGAAUUCACACCGGAGAGAAGCCUUACGUGUGUGCUGAGUGUGGGAAGGCCUUUACUGACAGGUCAAAUUUGAAUAAACAUCAGACAACACACACUGGAGACAAACCCUACAAGUGUGGCAUCUGUGGGAAAGGCUUCGUUCAGAAAUCAGUGUUCAGUGUCCAUCAGAGCAGCCACGCUUGAGAGAAACAGUGUGAGAAAACCCCACUGAGGGUUAGGUCUGAUUGUACACUGUUGCAUGCAUGCAGCAGAAAAAUAUGUAUAUUAUUGUAAAUAGAAAUGACCACAUCAGAAUGUCACACAUGGCUGUUUUGGAGAGGGCCUCUGAGAAGGCACUGAAUGAGGCGAGGGACCCUUCCUACAUUGUCACCAUCCCCAAUAAACCUUGGGGCAUUAUUCAUACUGACAAGGAACGGAGUCAAUUUGGUGAAUAGAAAAAGCCUUCUCAUGAAAACUACAAUGGAACACUGUUACCAAAUUCUUCAUAAGAAAGAUCAUAUUAUGAGAAUGAUAAUCCUGUUUACUGUGGAUUAGGUAUAGUGCCAACAGUUUGAAUGAUAAAACAACAUAAUAUGUAGUUAUUUUGAUAGUGAUGAAUCCUAAGUUAUGUGAGUUGUUCGUUGUGGAACACAUUGUGUAACAGACUCGUGGAUGUUUUUCUUUCUUGUUCGAAUCUACCACAGUUGGUCAUAUCCAACCCUCAUUCAGUAUUUCUAUCAAGAAAUAGAUGCUACAAAAAAAAAAGAAAAAACCUUUAUGUAUACAGAUGUAAACCUCAGGAUGUAUGUUGAGUCCCCACUGUCAUCUAGCACCGAGACUUGCCACCCCGCUCGUUAUCUACCAUGACUGGUCUCUCAGCCUCACAGGCCCUCAGCACAUUGUGUUUUGACCCGCAGCACAGUGUCUUGUGAACUCCCAUCACCUUCAAGAAAGCUUCUGAGGGUGAAGGUACACUCGAGAUGGUCAUUGAGGACAAGUCAACAAGAGAUUCCUGAGUACGUCUAUGGUCAGCCUUGCGUCUGCAGGUGUACCCAACAGCUCUGAAGAGACAGCGACCAUCGAGAACGGGCCAUGAUGACGAUGGCGGUUUUGUCCAAAAGAAAAGGGGGAAAUGUGGGGAAAAGAGAGAUCAGACUGUUACUGUGUCUGUGUAGAAAGAAGUAGACAUGAGACUCCAUUUUGUUCUGUACCAAGAAAAAUUCUUCUGCCUUGAGAUGCUGUUAAUCUGUAACCCUGGCCCCAACCCUGUGGUUGCAGAGACAUGUGCUGUGUUGACUCAAGGUUUAAUGGAUUUACCAAAGGGCUAUGCAGGAUGUACUUUGUUAAAAAAAAAAAGUGCUUGAAGGCAGUAUGCUUGUUAAAAGUCAUCACCAUUCUCUAAUCUCAAGUACCCAACACAAUACACUGCGGAAGGCCACAGGGACCUCUGCCUAGGAAAGCCAGGUAUUGUCCAAGAUUUCUCCCCAUGUGAUAGCCUGAGAUAUGGCCUCGUAGGAAGGGUAAGACCUGACUGUCCCCCAGCCCGACACCCCCAGCCCAACACCCGUAAAGGGUCUGUGCUGAGGAGGAUUAGUAAAAGAGGAAGGCCUCUUUGCAGUUGAGAUAAGAGGAAGGCAUCUGUCUCCUGCUCAUCCCUGGGCAAUAGAAUGUCUCAGUGUAAAACCCAAUUGUAUGUUCUAUUUACUGAGAUAGGAGAAAACCGCCUUAGGGCUGGAGGUGAGACAUGCUAGCGGUAAUACUGCUCUUUAAUGCACCGAGAUGUUUGUAUACAUGCACAUCAAGGCACAGCACCUUUUCUUAACCUUGUUUAUGACACAGACCUUUGUUUACAUGUUUUCCUGCUGACCCUCUCCCCACUAUUACCCUAUUGUCCUGCCACAUCCCCCUCUCCGAGAUGGUAGAGAUAAUGAUCAAUAAAUACUGAGGGAACUCAGAGACCAGUAAGCACUGGUCCCCUGGGCCCACUUUUCUUUCUCUAUA